CCUGGCUCAGGAUGAACGCUGGCGGCGUGCUUAACACAUGCAAGUCGAACGAUGAUCCCCAGCUUGCUGGGGGGAUUAGUGGCGAACGGGUGAGUAACACGUGAGUAACCUGCCCUUAACUCUGGGAUAAGCCUGGGAAACUGGGUCUAAUACCGGAUAUGACUCCUCAUCGCAUGGUGGGGGGUGGAAAGCUUUAUUGUGGUUUUGGAUGGACUCGCGGCCUAUCAGCUUGUUGGUGAGGUAAUGGCUUACCAAGGCGACGACGGGUAGCCGGCCUGAGAGGGUGACCGGCCACACUGGGACUGAGACACGGCCCAGACUCCUACGGGAGGCAGCAGUGGGGAAUAUUGCACAAUGGGCGCAAGCCUGAUGCAGCGACGCCGCGUGAGGGAUGACGGCCUUCGGGU
rnacentral:rRNA from 1 species